UACGUAGGCAGCGAGCGUUGUUCGGAGUUACUGGGCGUAAAGAGUGCGUAGGCGGUUUUCUAAGUUUGGGGUGAAAUCUCCCGGCUCAACUGGGAGGGUGCGCCGAAGACUGGAAGGCUUGAGUAUGGGAGAGGUAAGCGGAAUUCCUGGUGUAGCGGUGAAAUGCGUAGAUAUCAGGAGGAACACCUGCGGUGUAGACGGCUUACUGGACCAUAACUGACGCUGAGGCACGAAAGCGUGGGUAGCAAACAGG
rnacentral:rRNA from 1 species